ACGAGGCUCAAACUCACGAACCGUGAGGUCAUGACCUGAGCCUAAAGUGGACGCUUAACUGACUGAGCCACCCGGGCGCCCCUGGUUGUUGGUUUUAAUGCAGUGUCGACGGUGGAAAAAAGAUGGCUUCCAAAUUCUAAGUGGAGGAAGGGCACUGCUGGUCACGUUAAGUCAUGAUGCUCGUUAAUUCACUUUUAUUCACCGAUUAUGCAAAGGUGUUUGUUGAAAUCUGGCUAGUAAAUUUCCAUUCCAUCUUCUCUCAUGGCAGACUAAUGCAAACUAAUUGAAACAUGUUACAAAUUUUAUGUUUUUUAACCAAGGACUUUAAAGCACUCAAACUCUUCACUUGGAAAGUUUUGAGCAAGUUAUAAAAGCAUCUCCAAGACUGUUUGAGCAACGUUUACAUGGUUCUUGGCCAAGAGCUGACCUAAGCCCAGCAACACUUCCAAACAUCCUUUUCUGAAAGGCCCUUUCCACAGGACUUGUCUGUAGUCUUGCCUUGGUUCCCCCACUUGGAGCCCUCUGCCCUCAGUAAUGGUGCAAGGGUGGAGUAGGUUCUGGUGUGCAACUCUGUAGCUAGCUGCCUGCUGUAGACACAUGGUCUCACUGCCCGCCCCUUUCCCACAGCCCCUCGGGAUCCCAGAGGUUCUGGAGGGGAGCAGAGAGGAGCUGAAUGGGGAGCAUUAAAAAUAGCGCCAGUGACUCACCGCACUUUAUUGCUGCAGUGCCCUUUCCUCAGAACCACCAAGAUAGCCUGGACAAUCUGACAGGAUCUCACAGCCUGUGGACACGGCCAUAUCGGCUUCAUGCCGGGAUGAUCAGCAAGGGGAAACUCGUGGGGAGAAGACACUCCUUAGAGUUAGGUGUGAUUUCAUGGCAUGAAAGCCCCAAAGGGAAGGUGAAUCAAGAGACUGUGGAACUCUCCAAAGACGCCAUCGAAGACCUGAGCUGGAGACCACGCCAAACAAUUCCACAGCAAAUCCAGCCGGCGCUCUGGGACUGUGCUGUGCGAUCCAGGCUCCACUGGCCACGUGUGCAGACUGAGCACUUGAAACGUAGCUACUGUGCAUGGAGAUAAGUAUAAAAUACACAGCGGACUUCGGGCACUCAGCAUAAAAAGAGAACGUAAAAUGUCUCAUAAUGUUUAUAUUGAUCACAUUUUGAAAUGAUGCUAUUUUUAUAUACGGGGUUAAAUAAAAUAUAUUAAAAUGA